AUUGAACGCUGGCGGCAUGCUUUACACAUGCAAGUCGAAUGGUAACAGGCCGCAAGGUGCUGACGAGUGGCGAACGGGUGAGUAAUGCAUCGGAACGUGCCCAUUCGUGGGGGAUAACGCAGCGAAAGCUGCGCUAAUACCGCAUACGAUCUAUGGAUGAAAGCGGGGGACCUGUAAGGGCCUCGCGCGAUUGGAGGGGCCGAGGUCAGAUUGGGUAGUUGGUGGGGUAAAGGCCCACCAAGCCACAGAUCUGUAGCUGGUCUGAGAGGACGACCAGCCACACUGGGACUGAGACACGGCCCAGACUCCUACGGGAGGCAGCAGUGGGGAAUUUUGGACAAUGGGCGCAAGCCUGAUCCAGCAAUGCCGCGUGCAGGAAGAAGGCCUUCGGGUUGUAAACUGCUUUUGUACGGAGCGAAACGGCUCUGGUUAAUACCUGGGGCUAAUGACGGUACCGUAAGAAUAAGCACCGGCUAACUACGCGCCAGCAGCCGCCGUAA
rnacentral:rRNA from 1 species